GAACAACAACGAUGAGAUAUUCCACACAAUAAUCUGCUUAUCUGGAGUCACUUUCCCUUGCCAGGCCAGAGAGAAAUCGCAGCUUCAUCGUCUGAGGAAAGGAGGACAGAUGACCCUGGAAAACGCAACGACACCUGGAGCAAGAGCUUUUCCUGGCUUGGCAAUCCUAACAGUGCCGGCAUUAAAGGAGAGGGCUGCCCCUGGAAACCGAAGGGCAGCUACAGCAGUGAAAACCGGAGAUAAUUGAAUUCAACUUGAGAUUUGACACUAAGAAGAAAAAUAUGGCGAUACACAGAGAACAGAAAAAGUAAUCCAUUGGCAGUUCCCCACAAGUGCUGCUGCCUACAGUGACUAUGUGAGAACCGAACCUUCUGAGGAAGCCAGGUUAUUAAAAUUUUUGUUCCCUUUACUCAAAGAUAGCAUGGAUUCUCUAGUCUGAAAUGGAAAGCAAGCUCUUAAGGUAAUAUUGUCACUGAAUCCUCAACACACAGAACUUCCUGUUUCCCAUUCCCUUAAUAAAAUUCUAUUAAAAUCCCUUGAA